UUAUACUGUGAACUGCGAAUGGCUCAUUAAAUCAGUUAUCGUUUAUUUGAUAGUACCUUACUACAUGGAUACCUGUGGUAAUUCUAGAGCUAAUACAUGCUAAAAACCCCGACUUCAGGAAGGGGUGUAUUUAUUAGAUAAAAAACCAACGCCCUUCGGGGCUCCUUGGUGAAUCAUAAUAACUUAACGAAUCGCAUGGCCUUGCGCCGGCGAUGGUUCAUUCAAAUUUCUGCCCUAUCAACUUUCGAUGGUAGGAUAGUGGCCUACCAUGGUGGCAACGGGUAACGGGGAAUUAGGGUUCGAUUCCGGAGAGGGAGCCUGAGAAACGGCUACCACAUCCAAGGAAGGCAGCAGGCGCGCAAAUUACCCAAUCCCGAUACGGGGAGGUAGUGACAAUAAAUACUGAUACGGGGCUCUUUUGGGUCUCGUAAUUGGAAUGAGAACAAUUUAAAUCCCUUAACGAGGAACAAUUGGAGGGCAAGUCUGGUGCCAGCAGCCGCGGUAAUUCCAGCUCCAAUAGCGUAUAUUAAAGUUGUUGCAGUUAAAAAGCUCGUAGUUGAACCUUGGGUCUGGCUGGCCGGUCCGCCUCACCGCGAGUACUGGUCCGGCUGGACCUUUCCUUCUGGGGAACCCCAUGGCCUUCACUGGCUGUGGGGGGAACCAGGACUUUUACUGUGAAAAAAUUAGAGUGUUCAAAGCAGGCCUUUGCUCGAAUACAUUAGCAUGGAAUAAUAGAAUAGGACGUGCGGUUCUAUUUUGUUGGUUUCUAGGACCGCCGUAAUGAUUAAUAGGGAUAGUCGGGGGGCGUCAGUAUUCAGCUGUCAGAGGUGAAAUUCUUGGAUUUGCUGAAGACUAACUACUGCGAAAGCAUUCGCC
rnacentral:rRNA from 1 species